GAGUCUUGCUUUGUCGCCCAGGCUGGAGUGCAAUGUGCCAUCUCGGCUCACUGCAACCUUCGCCUCCCGGUUUCAAGUGAUUCUCUGGCCUCAGCCUCCUGAGCAGCUGAGAAUACAGGAAGGAAGGAAGAAGCAAAGACCGGCAUGACCUGGCGGGUGUUGGCUGAAGCAAGUACAGGUCUUCAGCGAAGAGCAGGAGAAAUUAAGUAUCAGAGUUGGAAAGGACGGAAGCAGCCUGAACUCUCAUCCAUACAACCAUUGUGGGGGGCCAUUGGCAGUACACAGUCAAGUUGAAGAAAACGCUUGCUGACCCUUGAUCUAAAUACUCAUCAGGGAAUACAGAUGACGCUACAAGCAAUGAAAAUAGUAAACCACAGCUACAUGUGUCGACAUGACUAAAUCUCAAAAAUAAAAUAUUUUCAAAAGCAA